GAGGGUAUAGCCCAAAGUGGUAGAGCACAUGCUUAGCAUGCAUGAGGUCCUGGGUUCAUUCCCCAGUACCUCCA
rnacentral:tRNA from 1 species